CCUACGGGGGGCUGCAGUGGGGAAUAUUGCACAAUAGGGGAAACCCUGAUGCCGCGACGCCGCGUGAGUGAAGAAGUAUUUCGGUAUGUACAGCUCUAUCAGCAGGGAAGAAAAAAGACGGUACCUGACUAAGAAGCCCCGGCUAACUACGUACCAGCAGCCGAGGUAAUACGGAGGGGGCAAGCGUUAUCCGGAUUUACUGGGUGUAACGGGAGCGAGGACGGUAUGGCAAGUCUGAAGUGAAAGCCCAGGGCUUAACCCUGGGACUGCGUUGGAAACUGUUAGACUAGAGUGCUGGAGAGGUAAGUGGAAUUCCUAGUGUAGCGGUGAAAUGCGUAGAUAUGAGGAGGAACACCAGUGGCGAAGGCGGCUUACUGGACAGUAACUGACGUUGAGGCUCGAAAGCGUGGGGAGCAAACAGGAUUAGAUACCCCUGUAGUC
rnacentral:rRNA from 1 species